rnacentral:rRNA from 1 species
CUGGGUUUGACAUCGCCGGAAAACUCGCAGAGAUGUGGGGUCCUUCGGGGCCGGUGACAGGUGGUGCAUGGCUGUCGUCAGCUCGUGUCGUGAGAUGUUGGGUUAAGUCCCGCAACGAGCGCAACCCUCGUCCCAUGUUGCCAGCAAGUGAUGUUGGGGACUCAUGGGAGACUGCCGGGGUCAACUCGGAGGAAGGUGGGGAUGACGUCAAGUCAUCAUGCCCCUUAUGUCCAGGGCUUCACGCAUGCUACAAUGGCCGGUACAAACCGUUGCGAGCCCGUGAGGGGGAGCGAAUCGGAAAAAGCCGGUCUCAGCUCGGAUCGGGGUCUGCAACUCGACCCCGUGAAGUCGGAGUCGCUAGUAAUCGCAGAUCAGCAACGCUGCGGUGAAUA